GAUGAACGCUAGCGACAGGCCUAACACAUGCAAGUCGAGGGGCAGCGGGGAGCGAAGCUUGCUUUGCUCCGCCGGCGACCGGCGCACGGGUGAGUAACGCGUAUGCAACCUGCCCGUUUCAGCGGGAUAACCCGGAGAAAUCCGGCCUAAUACCGCAUGUGGCCGAGGGGAGGCAUCUUCUUUCGGCCAAAGGAGGCGACUCCGGAGACGGAUGGGCAUGCGUGACAUUAGCUUGUUGGCGGGGUAACGGCCCACCAAGGCGACGAUGCGUAGGGGUUCUGAGAGGAAGGUCCCCCACACUGGUACUGAGACACGGACCAG
rnacentral:rRNA from 1 species